AGGCCAUGUCCUGUGGGAUGGCUUCAGAUAAGCUACCCAGAAAUCCAAACAGACGGAAAGCAGACUGAUGGCUGCCCAGGAAGGGGGCAUGGAGAGUGAUUGUUCAAGGAGUAUGGGGGGUUUCAGGAGUCAUGGAAAAAUUUAAGAGAGAGGUUCCCUGCACUCAAACACAUCUGAGCAUAGACUGGUGCUCUUGGAUCCUUCCCUGCACGUGUAAAGCUUGUUGCAUUAAGAUGACAGAGGACACCGCAUGCUGUAAGAACAUUCAAAGGAGGCCCUGCAGGGAGCCCUUCCUCACCCACCAAGUGGGAAGCCAGGAGCAUGGAGGCUUCUUUCAACUUGUCAGAGAGACAUGGCGGGGCUGGCAAGGGUUUGACGCCUACCAGGCGGUCUGGACUGCGUGAACAGCUGUGUUCACAACAUACGCACAAGGCGAAUGUCUUCCCUUGACAAGAACAGAACACAAAGGACUGGCUCGGGGUUACAAAACCUAUGCUUCAUCUGGUUGCAUCUUAACUGCACCCCAAAAUCAUGGGAGUCACUUCCUGAGUCAUGGGUACAGAGAGAUGCAAAAAAAAAGGCCACAGACUUGGGUUCCAGGAGACCAGCCGCACCUCUGGGCCCAUGGGACAAGCUCACACAGGAAAUGACAGAAGCUGAAAAGGAUUAACAGACAAAAAUACAAACUAAUGGGAUUACGGGAACUAAAAACAAUUCUCAAAUAUCUGCAGCAAAUAUCCAUGUCCAAGACAGCCUUCCUGAGCCUGAAUGCAUUUGGAGCGCCCCACUUUUAAUAAAGGCAUAAAAACAUUUUUUUUUUUCAGUCUCAACAAAAGGAAAAUUAGGGAGGAUAAUCUGUGCAAAAUGACAUCCAGUAGAUCAUUCCUGAACCAAAUGAGGGUUGUGGACUACCUGGGGGUGGGCUUCCCGGGGCACGGCUCUCCUGUUAUUAACAUGCCUACAAAGCGGCAGGCCAGGCGGAAGCAGUGGCAUGGAGGCAGCAUGGACAGCACAAAAGGCUGUGGGCCGGGUAGACCUCAGGUGUGUCCUGAGCCAAGUCCAAGGACACCAGUGCCUUUUCCAAAGCUUGUUACCGCUCCCACAAGGCACGUAACUAAAAUCCUGAUGCCACUGAAGAGCCAUGUUCCAGAGUCCUAGGGCCAGGCCGGGAGCUGUUCUGAUUGCAGUUCUGAAAUCUAAACUCUCAGAGAGCAGCCUAAUCCUAUUUCCAACAAUAAAGGGGCACACUGUGUCCCCCACUCUCGGUGGACCUAUUACAUGUCUUCACCGUGGCUUCUGGGCCCUGCCCCACCCGAGUGUCUCAGAGCCACGAGAACUCAAGAGAUGAUUCUCCCCAGUGCUUCCCACCUUCUAUCCUGUAAUCACUCCACGAAAUGUAAAAGCUGGUUAUUUUUGCACACUCUUAAGUUUA